UGGAAGUGAUGAAGCAGAGAGGAUGGGGUGUGUGUGGAUGGGGUGUGUGAGGAGUGGGGUUGGGGUUGGGUUUGGGGCUGUGUGUGGCUGUGACAGGGGCUCUCUGGGGGCACUGAGCCCUGUGCUGAGGCCGGAGUGCAUCUGAGGCGUGUUGGGCACCUCGGGGCCCCUCUGCAACACUGCCAGUGAUUAAAGCCCCAAAGCAGCCCACCAGGAGAGCCCCAGGCACCCCAAAUCUCUACCAGGGUCACCAGUGAUCCUGGCAUCUGAUCUCA
rnacentral:snoRNA from 1 species